GACGAACGCUGGCGGCGUGCUUAACACAUGCAAGUCGAACGGAAAGGCCCUGCUUUUGUGGGUUGCUCGAUUGGCGAACGGGGGAGUAACACGUGAGUAACCUGCCCUUGACUUUGGGAGAACUUCACGAAACUGGGGCUAAUACCGGAUAGGAUCUCCUGCUGCAGUGUGGGGGUUGGAAAGUUUCGGCGGUUGGGGAUGGACUCGCGGCUUAUCAGCUUGUUGGUUGGGUAGUGGCUUCCCCAGGCUUUGGCGGGUAGCCGGCCUGAGAGGGUGACCGGCGACAUUGGGACUGAGAGACGGACCAGAGUCCUAUGGGAGGCAGUGGUGGGGAAUAUUGCACAAUGGGAGGAAGUCGGAUGAAGAAACGCCGGGUGCGGAAUGACGGCUUUUGGGUAGUAAACAGCUUUCGCCUGUGACGAAGCGUGAGUGACGGUACUGGGUAAAGAAGCACCGGCUAACUACGUG
rnacentral:rRNA from 1 species